rnacentral:rRNA from 1 species
GACGAACGCUGGCGGCGUGCUUAACACAUGCAAGUCGAACGGAAAGGCCCUGCUUUUGUGGGGUGCUCGAGUGGCGAACGGGUGAGUAACACGUGAGUAACCUGCCCUUGACUUUGGGAUAACUUCAGGAAACUGGGGCUAAUACCGGAUAGGAGCUCCUGCUGCAUGGUGGGGGUUGGAAAGUUUCGGCGGUUGGGGAUGGACUCGCGGCUUAUCAGCUUGUUGGUGGGGUAGUGGCUUACCAAGGCUUUGACGGGUAGCCGGCCUGAGAGGGUGACCGGCCACAUUGGGACUGAGAUACGGCCCAGACUCCUACGGGAGGCAGCAGUGGGGAAUAUUGCACAAUGGGCGGAAGCCUGAUGCAGCAACGCCGCGUGCGGGAUGACGGCCUUCGGGUUGUAAACCGCUUUCGCCUGUGACGAAGCGUGAGUGACGGUAAUGGGUAAAGAAGCACCGGCUAACUACGUGCCAGCAGCCGCGGUGAUACGUAGGGUGCGAGCGUUGUCCGGAUUUAUUGGGCGUAAAGGGCUCGUAGGUCGUUGAUCGCGUCGGAAGUGUAAUCUUGGGGCUUAACCCUGAGCGUGCUUUCGAUACGGGUUGACUUGAGGAAGGCAGGGGAGAAUGGAAUUCCUGGUGGAGCGGUGGAAUGCGCAGAUAUCAGGAGGAACACCAGUGGCGAAGGCGGUUCUCUGGGCCUUUCCUGACGCUGAGGAGCGAAAGCGUGGGGAGCGAACAGGCUUAGAUACCCUGGUAGUCCACGCUGUAAACGGUGGGUACUAGGUGUGGGGUCCAUUCCACGGGUUCCGUGCCGUAGCUAACGCUUUAAGUACCCCGCCUGGGGAGUACGGCCGCAAGGCUAAAACUCAAAGGAAUUGACGGGGCCCCGCACAAGCGGCGGAGCAUGCGGAUUAAUUCGAUGCAACGCGUAGAACCUUACCUGGGUUUGACAUGGAUCGGGAGUGCUCAGAGAUGGGUGUGCCUCUUUUGGGGUCGGUUCACAGGUGGUGCAUGGCUGUCGUCAGCUCGUGUCGUGAGAUGUUGGGUUAAGUCCCGCAACGAGCGCAACCCUUGUUCACUGUUGCCAGCACGUUAUGGUGGGGACUCAGUGGAGACCGCCGGGGUCAACUCGGAGGAAGGUGGGGAUGACGUCAAGUCAUCAUGCCCCUUAUGUCCAGGGCUUCACGCAUGCUACAAUGGCUGGUACAGAGAGUGGCGAGCCUGUGAGGGUGAGCGAAUCUCGGAAAGCCGGUCUCAGUUCGGAUUGGGGUCUGCAACUCGACCUCAUGAAGUCGGAGUCGCUAGUAAUCGCAGAUCAGCAACGCUGCGGUGAAUACGUUCCCGGG